AGCAGCCGCGGUAAUUCCAGCUCCAAUAGCGUAUAUUAAAGUUGUUGCAGUUAAAAAGCUCGUAGUUGAAUUUCGGGACCAAUUUGUUGGUCGUGCCUCGGUACGUACUGGUAUUAUUGGUUUCUCCCUUCUGAAGAACCUCGAUGCCAUUAAUUUGGUGUCGUGGGGAAUCAGGACUGUUACUUUGAAAAAAUUAGAGUGUUUAAAGCAGGCUAACGCUUGAAUACAUUAGCAUGGAAUAAUGAAAUAGGACGUUCGAUCUUAUUUUGUUGGUUUCUAAGAUUGACGUAAUGAUUAAUAGGGAUAGUUGGGGGCAUUAGUAUUCAAUUGUCAGAGGUGAAAUUCUUGGAUUUAUUGAAGACUAACUACUGCGAAAGCAUUUGCCAAGGAUGUUUUCAUUAAUCAAGAACGAAAGUUAGGGGAUCGAAGACGAUCAGAUACCGUCGUAGUCUUAACCAUAAACUAUGCCGACUAGGGAUCGGAUGAUGUUAAUUUUUUAAUGACUCAUUCGGCGCCUUACG
rnacentral:rRNA from 1 species